GGUGAGUAACACGUGGGUAACCUGCCUGUAAGACUGGGAUAACUCCGGGAAACCGGGGCUAAUACCGGAUGGUUGUUUGAACCGCAUGGUUCAAACAUAAAAGGUGGCUUCGGCUACCACUUACAGAUGGACCCGCGGCGCAUUAGCUAGUUGGUGAGGUAACGGCUCACCAAGGCAACGAUGCGUAGCCGACCUGAGAGGGUGAUCGGCCACACUGGGACUGAGACACGGCCCANACUCCUACGGGAGGCAGCAGUAGGGAAUCUUCCGCAAUGGACGAAAGUCUGACGGAGCAACGCCGCGUGAGUGAUGAAGGUUUUCGGAUCGUAAAGCUCUGUUGUUAGGGAAGAACAAGUACCGUUCGAACAGGGCGGUACCUUGACGGUACCUAACCAGAAAGCCACGGCUAACUACGUGCCAGCAGCCGCGGUAAUACGUAGGUGGCAAGUGUUGUCCGGAAUUAUUGGGCGUAAAGGGCUCGCGGGCGGUUUCUUAAGUCUGAUGUGAAAGCCCCCGGCUCAACCGGGGANGGUCAUUGGAAACUGGGGAACUUGAGUGCANAAGANGAGAGUGGAAUUCCACGUGUANCGGUGAAAUGCGUANAGAUGUGGAGGAACACCAGUGGCGAANGCGACUCUCUGGUCUGUAACUGACGCUGANGAGCGAAAGCGUGNNGAGCGAACAGGAUUAGAUACCCUGGUAGUCCACGCC
rnacentral:rRNA from 1 species